AAGCUUAAGCACAGUGGUGGUAUUUUAGUCAAUGAGGUUUAUCAGAGGCACAAUUAUUUCUAAUUGAAAACCUUUCCCAAUACCCUACCCUGUCUUGAGGACUUGAAACAAAGAUGCUUGAAUCUCUCAGUCCCUUCAUUUGUAAAAGG
rnacentral:snRNA from 1 species